AAUUCAUACUCAUUUUCUUCCCAAAUGAGAUCGGGCAGAAUUUAUUAUUGCAUAUAGAGAUUACUAAGGCCAAUAUAAAUAAGUUGGGUUUGUUGAAAUAAAUAGAUAUGAUGACACUAGGCAAUGUUUGGGAGCCAGCAAUGGCCAUAAUGUACAUAUACAAAUACCGGGCUGGUGAUUAAGGUUUGUAGUUUGUUUCUAUUUUAGAUUCUGCUAAGUUGUACGCAAGAUAAGUAGUGGUAGUAGUAGUAAUAAUAUCCAAAUUUAAAUGUAUAUAUUCAUAUAAAUGGAAAUAAAUGUUUAAAAUUAUA
rnacentral:lncRNA from 1 species